AUUGUCCUCACUGGGUGGUCUGAAGUGUCUGAGGUCUCUGGGCUGGAUGAUAGUUUUGUUUGUUCAGUUUGAAUCCCACCUCCUCCUGCCUCUGCCCACCUGUUCACUGCUCACAAAGGCCUAGAGGUAACAGAGAGGCCACCCAUUUUCCCACAGAGAUGGCUGGGAAAUGCUCCUGCCCCAUCUCUCAGUCAACUUUGCCAAUGGGCACUGUUAAAGCUACCGUGGAGGAAAAAGUCUGGCACCCAGGCCUUGUCCCCCAAGGCCUGUGGCCUGGGCUUUUGGGGACUUGGGUACUAAGUCCCCAACCUCCUGGAGACUUCUAGUGUCUGUCUGGCCCUUCUCCUUGCCAAAGACCUCAGGAAGGCAGUAAGGCGGGACCCUUGGCUCCAGGGAAUGAGGAUGCAGCAGAAAGCAGGUCUCUGAACCACACCCGAACCUCUGCCCAAGGCAAGAGUGUCUGCUUUUUCCCUUUGGUGAUGCCCUGGAAGCAAUAAGCAUGUGCUAAUAAUAGGCCAGGAUCACAAAUGAGACGAAAAUGACCACAAUAGAAACAAAACAAAGAAAAACGCAGCCAAGGAAGAGUGGACAAAGACUCCUGAAAUAAAAACUACUAAAACAUUCCGUUCCCUGAAGACGGCCAAGGCAGCCAACUCUUCGGACAGCUUCAGCCACCUCGGAC
rnacentral:lncRNA from 1 species